AGGCAUUUACUAUGAUCGUGAAUGCACAAGGAAAGCUAACCACGCAGUCCUGGUUGUGGGGUAUGGAGAUUCUGAUGGGAACAAAUUCUGGAUUUUGAAAAACAGCCACGGAGAGGGCUGGGGUGAAGAUGGAUAUAUGCGACUGGCAAAGGAUAAGCAAAACCAUUGUGGGAUAGCCGACCAUGGUGUGUAUCCUGUCGUCUGAUACCAGACUGUGAAGCAAAGAAGGACAAAUAAAGGGUAUGAAUGUGCACGCUGCAUAAGAACAAAGUACUGGAUAAACCCAUUCUUCUGUAGUGCAAGUACUUGAUCAAUGAAUUUGAUGUUCUGGAAAUUAAGUACCAUUUAAGCCACUUAUGUAGAAGAUCAGAUAACGUGAGAUAAUGUACUUGCACCAAUCGGCUUCAGUUGUGAAUGCACUAGCUUUCUAAGCAGUGCCCACUGUCGCAUUCACUGUACCCUUCUUGUCACUCUUUUGCUUGUUAUAUUGCCAUGUGCUCUGGAAUGCAUUGGAUUGCAUGGUAAAGUGUGCUCUCUCUCUGUCUGCUGAAAACCUAAAAAGCAAUUCACUUCAAAUGACAUUUUACAUGUUUUUAAACGUCCCCUUAUGUUUCUGUGAUGAUUGCAACUAUGCUGAGUGUUUCUUAGAGCAAUUACUCAAAUACAGAAUAUAAAAAAUUAAAAAAAGUUUAAGGAGCUACUCUCAGUUCUAGAUGCUUGCUAUAGACAUCAUGUUAGCUGGAUCAGCCAGUGUCUUUAAAUUAGUACGCGACAGCACCAUCUAGUGCACAGCUAGUGUACUGCCAUCAUUACAAAAGAAUCCAGGUGACUUGCUGUUACUUCUAUAAAGACCGGCUGAUCUAGCCUGUGUUACACAUCAGGAAACCAGAACUGAAAGGCAGCUCCUGAACUCAGGUGAAAGCAAAUACAUAAAACGCAGUAUCUGAGUAAUUGCAACACGUGUCCCUGAGAAUGAUUGUAAAUAUCUUAAAAACGUAAGGGGGCAGUAAAUGCUCACCAAUGGACAGAUUUCUUUGCACCCCACACCUGCUCAGUCUAGAGGGUAGGAUCACAUCCAAACGCUGUAAAGAAACUGUGUUGGCUACGUGUCAAACAGGAGAUUACAUGAACUACUGUGUUUUCCCUUUUCAGACGGGUAAUUCCCAAAUACAAUCUUGCGUAUCAGUAUUGUAGUAUUAGACACCAAAGUCAGAGCAGUGCAGCUUGUUCCAGCCUCUUACCACUUACACUCUCCCAUUGAAAUAGUAUAGCUAGCCAGCCUCCUGCAAACUGAGCCUAAAUAUCUUCAUAUAAACAAGACAAGUGUGAUUUGGGGUUUGUGGAACAGGCUGAAACGUAUUGAUCAUGCCCUGUUCUUCUGUAACCCUUGUCUUAUAGAGCAUUGUGAAACCUUUCCGUUUACCACACAGGCUUGGUUUACUCACUGUGUUUCAAUUAAUCAAACUCUUACAUUGUAAAGCGGGAGGAUAAAUCCUCUAAUUCUGAGUGCAGUGUUGAUGUGCAGGAAAUUCAAUGUUAAUUAUGAUGCGCUUUCUGUAUUUCUUUCAAUAAAGCUAUUAGCAUUC